rnacentral:rRNA from 1 species
GUUGGGUUAAGUCCCGCAACGAGCGCAACCCUCGUCCUAUGUUGCCAGCACGUCAUGGUGGGGACUCAUAGGAGACUGCCGGGGUCAACUCGGAGGAAGGUGGGGAUGACGUCAAAUCAUCAUGCCCCUUAUGUCUUGGGCUUCACGCAUGCUACAAUGGCCGGUACAAAGGGCUGCGAUACCGCGAGGUGGAGCGAAUCCCAAAAAGCCGGUCUCAGUUCGGAUUGGGGUCUGCAACUCGACCCCAUGAAGUCGGAGUCGCUAGUAAUCGCAGAUCAGCAACGCUGCGGUGAAUACGUUCCCGGGCCUUGUACACACCGCCCGUCAAGUCACGAAAGUCGGUAACACCCGAAGCCGGUGGCCCAACCCUUGUGGAGGGAGCCGUCGAAGGUGGGACCAGCGAUUGGGACUAAGUCGUAACAAGGUAGCCGUACCGGAAGGUGCGGCUGGAUCACCUCCUUUCUAAGGAGCUUCUGGC